rnacentral:rRNA from 1 species
CCCUUAGAUGUCCUGGGCUGCACGCGCGCUACACUGGAAGUUACGGAUUGAGAUACUACCUUGUCCGAAAUGGUCCGGGUAAUCACCUAAAAGCUUGUCAUAAUUGGAAUGGAUUAUUGUAACUAGUAAUCCUGAACGAGGAAUUCCUGGUAAGUCCCAGUCAACAGCUGGUACUGAUUACGUCCCUGCCCUUUGUACACACCGCCCGUCGCUACUACUGAUUGGACGUUUAAGCAAGAUUUUUAAACACUGACAGUGUGUAGUUCACGCUAUACUACAGUGAGAAGAAGAAGAUCGAGCUUACUUGUCUAGAGGAAGUAAAAGUCGUAACA